rnacentral:rRNA from 1 species
UUUCUCGAUGGUAGUGUAUUGGACUACCAUGGCAGUCACAGGUAACGGAGAAUUAGGGUUCGGUUCCGGAGAGGCAGCCUGAGAAACGGCUACCACAUCUACGGAUAGGCAGCAGGCGCGUAAAUUACCCAAUACUGAUUCAGUGAGGUAGUGACAAGAAAUAACAACUCGGGGAUCUAAGUAUCUUACGAGAUUGCAAUGAGAACAAUCUAAAUCCCUUAACGAGGAACAAUUGGAGGGCAAGUCUGGUGCCAGCAGCCGCGGUAAUUCCAGCUCCAAUAGCGUAUAUUAAAGUUGUUGCAGUUAAAAAGCUCGUAGUUGAACUUCUGGAGGAGGGUAAUCUGUCGCUUCGUGCACGGUUAUGCUCCUUCAUCCGUCUGCAAAGUCUUUCUCGGCCCUUAAGUGGUUCGGAUUGAGGAGUAGACAAUUUACUUUGAAAAAAUUAGAGUGUUUCAGGCAGGCAAUCGCCAGAAUACAUUAGCAUGGAAUAAUGGAAUAGGACUAUAGUUCAUUUUGUUGGUUAUUGGAUUAUGGUAAUGAUUAAUAGGGACUAGUUGGGGGCAUUAGUAUUUAAUUGUCAGAGGUGGAAUUCUUGGAUUUAUUAAAGACUAACUUAUGCGAAAGCAUUUGCCDAAGGAUGUUUUCAUUAAUCAAGAACGAAAGUUAGGGGAUCAAAGACGAAUCAGAUACCCGUC